GGAGGAAGCUCCGGGAGGGAGAGCCGCGUCCACUCCUCUUUCCAGACUAUGAUGGGGCCCAGGGACCCCUCCCCUCCGACUGAGCCCCACAGACCCCCUACUCAGGACAGAAGGGGAAAGCUGAGCUCCUGCUGGCCCAGGCAUCAGAAUUCCUCAGGGAGGAAAAGUUGCCUAUCUGUUGGGUCAGAUUUCUGAAGACUGAUGAGGCCCAUUUUCCGACAAAUGGCAAGAGUUUAGAAAGUACCAGUGACGUGCCUGAUAGAAUCUCACCACAAGAUGGAAGCCAACUCGUCAGAAGCCUGGAAAGCCCACCCAGCGUGGGACCUCUGUGGGUCCAGGAUCUUGGAAUGGCAUCCCAUGGUUCAAUCUUCCGGAUUCAACCACAUAAAUUUACCCCACCCAUGUCGUGGACCCAAGCUUCCUACCAUGUAUCCUUAGCUUAAAUG
rnacentral:lncRNA from 1 species